rnacentral:rRNA from 1 species
UACGGAGGAUGCAAGCGUUAUCCGGAAUGAUUGGGCGUAAAGCGUCCGCAGGUGGCUGUGUAAGUCUGCUGUUAAAGAGUGAGGCUCAACCUCAUAAAGGCAGUGGAAACUACAUGGCUAGAGUGCGUUCGGGGCAGAGGGAAUUCCUGGCGUAGCGGUGAAAUGCGUAGAGAUCAGGAAGAACACCGGUGGCGAAAGCGCUCUGCUAGGCCGCAACUGACACUGAGGGACGAAAGCUAGGGGAGCGAAUGGG